UUCAUUUUUUAAGAAAGUUUAUUUGAAGUUAGGUUUUAUGUGUUUAUUAAUUUAAUCAAUCAAUCUCUACACCCAGUGUAGGGCUCAAACUCAUGACCCUGAGAUCAAGAGUCACAUGCUCUUCCAACUGAGCCAGCCAGGCACCCCAAGAUUUCAUUUUUUAAGGCUGGGUAAUAUACCACAUCUUGUUUUUCCAUUCGUCUAUUGAUGGAUACUUAGGUUGCUUCCAUAUCUUGGCUAUUGUAAACAUUGCUAUAAUGAACGUAGGGGUACACAUGUCUUUUCAAAGUGGUUUUUGUUUUCUUUGAAUACAUACCUGGAACUGGAAUUGCUGGAUUGUAUGGUAGUUCUAUUUUAAAUUUUUUGAGGAACUUCCGUACUGUUUUCCACAGUAGCUGCACCAAUUUACAACCUUAACUACUUACAGUGCACGAGAUUCCCUUUUCUCCACAUCCUCGCCACACUUGUUACUUCUAACAGGUGUAAGGUGAUUUCUUGUGGUUUUGAUUUGCAUUUCCCUGAUGAUUACUGAAAUUGAUCAUCUUUUCAUUGCCUGUUGGCCAUCUGUGUGUCUUUGGAAAAAUGUCUCUUGUUUUGUCCUGUUUUUUGUUUUGUUUUUAGAGAGAGAGGCAGAGGGAGAGAGAGAAUCUCUAGCAGGCUCCACAUUCAGAGCAGAGCUUAAUGGUGGGGCUUGAUCUCAUGACCUGAGUGAAAUCAGGAGUCAGACCUCAACCAACUGAGCCACCAGGCACCCUCCUCUCCCUCCUCUGUCCAUUUUUUUAAUUGGAGUGUUUAUUAUUAGUUUUUAAAUACUGAAUUAUGAGUUCUUUAUAUAGUUCACAUGUUAACCCGUUAUUGUAUAUAUCAUUUGUGACUGUCUUCUCCCAUUGCCUUUUCAUUUUGUUGGUCAUAUCCAUUGCUGUGUAAAAGCCUUUCAGUUCGAUGUACUCCCAUUUGUUUGUACAAAAGCUUUUUAGUUUGUUAUAGUCAAAAGUUUUGAGUGCGGUAUUUUGGUCUUUUUUUCUUUUUCAAUUGUGAGGAUACCAUUCCUGCUUUAUUUUGGUUAUCAAUUUGUAGACUAUGGACUGUGUACUCAUUACCCAUUUCUAGGAAGAAAUUUGAAUAUUCAGUUUAGAGAAAGGUAAACAAGAAUUCUUUAAAGCACUCUUGGGAGUUAGAGUUGAUAAUUAUUGUUUACCAUGGGGAGAUGCUCUCAAGGAAUCAUAGGUACAUGAAAUAGAAAUCUUUUACUAUUAUGCCUCCUUUUUAGUCCAUCUUAAAUAUACUGGACACAUGAAGAAAGAUGGCAACAGUGAGGAAGAUACCAAAUCCAUUGCUUGGGAAGCCUGCCAAUAAAAUAGAGCUGGCACAGAGUUUAGAACCCAAGCUCUUCCAGAUAGUGGACACACCUUACUUUCUGUCUUCAGCUGUGUUUCUUAGAGUGGUCAGAGAACAUCUUGUAUUUUAGGAUAGGCCCCAGGGCUACUUGAAUGCAGAUUUAUGGGCCCACCGCAGGCUUAAGGAAUUAGAGUCUCAUAGAGUUGGGCCAGGGAAUGUGUUUUUCUUAGUCUUCAUUAUGGAAACUUUUAAGCAUACAGAAAGAGUAGUGAACACCUGUUACCAUCUACCUGGUUUCAAUAAUUAACAUAGAUAUCUUUGUCAGUGUAUGUUUGUGUAUCUAACAUACUAUAAGGAAGCACCUCUCUGUACUUCAAAUACUAAAUAAUUAGAAUAAUUCUACAUAGCUGUAAUACCAUUAUCCCAUCAUUAUCAAUGAUUCCAUAAUUUUACAGAAUCAUGUAAUAACUGCUUAUAUUCACAUUUGCCCAUUUGCCCCCAACAAUUUCUUCUAUAGGUUUUUUUCCCCUCCAAAUAGGGAUUUAAUUAUAAUUCACUCAUUGCUUUUGUUUCUGUUACCCUAGAACAGUUUUCUUACGUUUUUUCCCCUCGUGACGUUGACUUUUGCAGACUCUAGGCCAGUUCAUACAUGUUCUAUAUUUUGGAUUGCCUAAUUGUUUUUUCCAAGUAUCAUCUGACCUCUCUGUUUUCUGGGUCAACUUUAAGGUGCAUCUAGGGGCUUGAUUUUAUUCAGGGUACAUAUGUUUGCCAAAAUACUGCUUCCUACUUCCUUUUUGCAUCCUGUCAACAGGCACAUGGUAUCUGAUGUGUUGCACUGUUAGUGAUGCUAAGGUUUAUCUCUUGGUUAAGAUUCUGACUGCCAGAUUUUUCUCUAUAGAGGUAUGUAUUUUUUCCCUUUUGCAACCAGUAAAUAACUCGUGGGAUAAUACUUUGGCAAGAUGUCUGUGUUGUUUCCUAGCAACCUUUUACCUACUGCCAUUAGCAGCCAGUGAGAAUCCUUCCUGUUAUCAAUUAUGACAUUGUUGGUGGGAGGUGGGAUUUGUAUUUUAAACAAGCUCCCCAGUAAUUCUUACCUUUCUUUAAAGUUUGGGAGCCUUUGCUCUAGAGGAAUCAGUACCUGAGAAUAAAAAAAAAAAUUCUGUCCUGAAGAAGUGAGUAUGAAUCUAGGCCCUGGUGAGUUCUCAGUGGGUUGUCAGUAGACAAAGUUUAAACUGCAUGUUAGUUUUGGAGGAGCAAAAUUAGUGUUCUCAUGUGUUUCUCAUAUGUAAUAGCAAUAAAUCAAGGUAAAGACUAACAGAGGUAUGUAGUAACUAUUAGUAUGUAUGACUUAAAGGAGAGUGGUAUAGAAGAGGCAUAUAGAAAUUACCAAGGAGGAAAGGCAGCUGUAUUGAAAAUUCUGUUUUUGCAAAUAUUGUCUCAUUUAAAUUUUCAUAAGUUUUUGUGCUCAUUUUAUAGAGGAAGAAAUGGGUUUAGAGAGGUUAAGUAAUCUGAUGUCACUGGUAACUAACUGGUGGAGAAAGGUUUUGAAGGCAGAUCUCAUUGAUGGCAAAAUUUGUGCAGUUUUCUUUAUCAGACUUUUCUUGUAAUGAUCAGAAGGCUCUUCUCACUAAUUACUUUGCUUUACUUUGGGACUUUGCUGUUCUGCUUAUUGAAAAUGGAGAAAUGAUAUUCUUGAACCACUGGGCCCUCUUGAUGUAAAGCUAGGGUCCUUUGAGACCUCUGAUUUCUAGUCUAAUGUAUUAAACUCUGAGGAAUAUGGUAGGCUUAUGACUCUUAGUCAGUUGUAACUGCUGUUGUGAUUCAAGCAGCUGAGUGGUACUGCUGAGUGUAUAUCUUUAGGAAGUUAUUUUCUGUACUUCACCCUAGUCUCUUUCUUGGGGUAGGUGGUCCUUCCAACCCCGUGAUUUCCACAUUACAGAAAGGAGUAUGUAGGGUUGACCACACCCUCUUGGCCACUCUUUAUCCUUGCAGGUCCCACCUAAAGGCUGCACCCGUAUGUUGGUUCUUUGGUGACCUGUUGGAAACACUGAGAGCAGCAGCUUUUAAGAUUCCUAAGAUUAUAAAGCUAUUAUUUCCAAACUUUGGCUGUGCAUUGGAAUCAUCUGAGGAGUUGGAUAUUUGGGUACUACCAUAACAGAUUAGGAUCCAUUAGAUCUGGAAGGGCCUUGGAAUCUGUAUGUUUUAAAAGCCUGUGUUUUCACAAAGGUCCCCCAGCAGUGCACCGAGAUGAGAACCACAGUUGUAUAGGUUGAUUCCUGCCACUAUUUGCAGUGAUAGUUCUCGAGAAGCAGUUUCUGUUAGGAUCACUUGGAAAGUUUUUAUAAAUCUGAGCACUGGGCAUGCCAGAUUUAGAGCGGUGGACCAUACAGAGGAAGCUGUGAUGAUGAUUUUAAUGGAUCACACCAGUGUUAAAGCAAUCUCUGAUUUGACCUUACCCUUAGUUGGAAUGGGUUGGUGAAAGCGUGUAUUAAUCAAGUAGUAGCAAGAUUUGUCAUCUAUUAUGGCAUAUGGAUUACCAUAUACUAAAGCCUUAGAAUAUUGUAAAGACAUUUAACUUUAAAACUGUAUGGUGUAUAACUGAAUAUUCCUUUGAUUCAGAAGCUUCUUUGGAAGUUUGAAGUACUUCAGGGUCAUUAUUAACACAAAUUACCACUGUUAGUGUUCUAGAAGUGCCAAGUUAGGUGUUGGGGAGAUUGCUAUUCAAUCCAGAGUGAAUUUCACAUCUUGAAUUUUCAGAAAUGUUGUAUAUGUUGAAGUCAGUACUAAGGUAGGAUUCCUAAAAAGAAACCAGUGAGUGAAAGAGGAGAAGUGACCUAAAAGGUAUUAAAGGGGUGUCUCAUUACACACAGGGAUGAAGGAAGCAGAGAAGAAAAAUGAUUUCACUACAUUUUGCUUGACAGAUUCAUGAGCAGAGGGUAGAUAACUAGGGAAGGUGAUCGGAAGGGGUCAUGGAGUGUUUUACUCUGUUACUCCAUGUUGGUAGGAUAUCAGUACAGUAGAUCAACAAGGAAACCUAGAAUCCGCACAUACCAAAAUAGCGUCCCUCGGGGUUCCAUGUGGGAAUGUAGUGUGGCAGUGGUGAGGCAGUUCAGGCUCCUUGUAACUGGGAAGUUUGGGGUCAGAAAUCCUAGUGGAGGCAAUGGCUGGCAGAGAUGGGGCACAGAGUAUAUGGGCGAGCACAGUGUAGACCAGGUUGGAUCCUCUGAUUUUGGAUCGAAAUGAGCAAAAUUCCCACAUCUGUCAUUUUGCUUGGUUGUGAGGAAUGCAGCUCUGGAGGAGUCACCUAAAUAGUAUAAGGAGCCUUUGUAUGUUCAGGAUGCUGCCAUUUUGCCUUCUUUAAAGCAGUUUUCAUGAAAGCUGACUCCAAAGGAAAAGAUUAUGCUUUCUAGAAAGGAAAUCAUAUUUUCAAAAUUCAAGCAAUCCCAAAUGGUUUGGUUAGACCUAGUGUGAUGGUGUGCCUUUGGACUAGAACAGAGAAGCUACCUAAAGGAUUUAUUACUCUGUUUGCAGACUAAAUGACAGUUGUAAAAGCGAAGCUGAAGUUAAAAGCAAUUAUAUUGUAGAUUUGGAAGAAUAGAGAAUUAGAAUAUGUUUGUAGCAUUUAUGGACUAUAUGGUUUCCAUUGUUUGCUAGGGACUACAUAAUUUUUAGGUAGGUGUUGUCUAGGAUUAAAUGAGAUGGUGUUUGUCAGGCUGCUAAAGGAUUUGUAAUGGGGACCCAUGAGGUUGGAUUGUGUCAUUUUGCCUGUUUGCUUGACAUUUGCAGUUCACGAUCUCAAUUUGUGAUAUGCUCAUACCUAUUCCUGAAAAACCUCUCAUUCUGCAAAAUCACGCACUAAAACUAAGGCCUGUGGGAAAAAAAAAGGAUUAAGGCUAGACUACUUAAAACUAUGUAACUUUGUAACCACAGCAUUAACAAAAACAAUGAGAAUCCAGAUAAAAAUAUCACUACGGUAGUAUGGGUGACAUUUGCACUCCCUGCCAAGAUGAUUCUAGGUCUUAUUUUAUUCUGGGACAUGUUUUUCUUUGAUAUGUAGGUUCCUGUAGCUAUUAGCUUCUAUUGGAGGCCGUUUUCACCAUAAUUAAAGCUCUGAUGUAAGGUGUAGCCUUCAUGUGUGUCCACAGCAUCACAAGAUAGUGGAGAGCAUAACGGACCCUAAAGCCAGUAAAGUGACCACCCCUAUUUGUGCCACAGGAAGGGACUCAACACCCUCAGCAUUCAGCCAGUGAAAGGAAAGGGAAAAUGGAGAAAGCAUAAUUGCUUCCUAAAAGCCCUACCUAGAAGUGAGACACAUCACUUGUGCUGAAAAUCCAUUGUGAAGAACUAGCCCUGUGACUGUAACCACAUCAGCUCUAAGCGAAAGACAUGAGGCCUAAGACUGAAAUGAGGUUGUUUUGAGGCCAUCUGAUUUCUGACUAGAAGGUGUGCGAUCGCCUCGUCCUGAAACCACUUCAAACAGAAUGGUUUGCAAUUUUUUUUGGUGAUGGCAUGUUCAGAAUCUUGGAUCCCUAAGUUGAAUAUGUUGGAAAUAUUUAGGAACUCUGGAAAUUAUUGUUUUGUGUAUAUAAUGGCUUACUAGGUGAAUCAGUAGAUUUAAUAAAAAGUAUAUAAAAGACUAGGUAUUAUAAUUUUGUGUUUCUAAGUUGACAUGCAUUAUCUCAAAUUGUCAUCUAUCAGUAUUAGUGUCAUUCUCUGGAGAUAGUCCUAUUUUGAAGAUUUGGGGGUUUUUAUGGACCCCGUAUUUUCCCAGGCAGUUUAUGUAUUCCCCCACCCCUUGGGCCAGUUUGUUCAGCUCCUUUACCUUUCUACUACUGUGCAGUGUAGCUUACUUAGAUCAGUGGUAAUUAUUGAACAGGAAGAGAUCAAGUGACAGUCCUAGAGAUAGUAAUUAUAAAAUUUCAGCCUGGAAAUGACCUCAGAACGGUCUGUAUUCGAAUAUACAGAUUAUAUCCAAAUACACUUGUGACAAAACGCUGCCGAUUUUCUCCUUGGAUAUUAUUAUCUAGGAACAGAAGUGCUAAUAGGGAGGAAAAAGAACUGUUCAGUUUUACCUCUUCCCUCUCUCCCUUUUGUUGGGCGAAUGGGUUAGGGGGAAAGUAAAAUGGCCAAGAGAUAGACCAUGUAAAUGAAAAGGAGGAAAAACAAAUUUUAAUCUCCAAGAAAGAAUAUUUCCCCUUAAAAAUUCGAAAGUUAGCUCCAUUCUGUGUACCUGAACAUACUGUUUUAAAACUGUGGGCUCACUUUCACAUAGGCCCAGAAUGUCAGCUAGGGUAUGCUUAUGCUUAACCAUAGGAAUGGCUGGAGAACUUGUUAUUUGAUAGGAGAGUCAGACAGUCCUUGGGUGACAGUCAGUGGUUGACUUGUUCCCUGACCUGUUCCUGCUGGGAUUAACAGAUUUGAGGAAUUUUCUGGGGCAGUUAUUUUGAUGGUCAAAUGAUACAACAGCCUCUCUACCCCUUUGACCAAAACUGAGGAAAAAAUUGAUUUUUAAGACUGUAUUUAGAACAGCCUGAAAAAGGAUCAUAGGAAAAGGCUGAGGUAGUCCAGUAGAAUGUUAAUGUAUUUGACUAUUACAAGGUUUAUUAUUGGUAGAUUAUCCAAUAAUACGGAAAUUGGUGUAUAACCCAAGUUUUCAUAACAUUUCUAUUAGAAGACUUCCAGAACUAAAUACACCCUCCACCCCUUUGCUUUACUUUGCUUUGCUUUAAGAGGAUUUGACUGAUAGGUAUAUUUAAUAGGUGGCACAAUGAAGACAUUAGAUUUUUAAAAAUCAGGUUACAUUUUAAUUUAAAUGUGUGUUGCCUCUUUGCUGCUUUCCCAUUACAACUGGCUUUUUAAAAACUCUCCUUCUGUGAUACUUUUAUCAAUAGAGGUGUUUCCUCUUAGCCAAUUCUAGCCACAGUAUUGACUGGGCCUCGGCAUUUGAUAUACCCAGAAGGAAUUAGACAGACAGGAAAAAAGUUGGUCUAUACUGAAAUGAAUAUUUUAAAAACCUUCUUAGAUUCUGAACACUUUGAGUACAAAUGAAAGAGACCCAAGAGGGGGGAAAAUUUAAGAGCCCAAGAAUAAAAAAAUGGUGGGGGUGGGGGUGGGGGAUAACCCCUUACAUAGCUAACUAAGGUAUAAUAAGGGAAGGAAAUUAAUUUCCUGGAGAUUAUGAGAUAGAAUAUGAAAUCCCUUGGAUAGUAGGCGUUCUUAGACUCAUUAGGGUAGUUCACACUAGCACACUGCAGUAUUGUAAGGACAGUGUUAUGUGAUCUGGGGAAAUAUUAAUGGAUUUCCUAACACAGAGUUUGACAUUUAUUGUAGUGGGUUAUAAAUGGGUAUGCAGCUCAAAAAUGAAUAUAAUUCAAAAUAAGUAUUGUAGAUACUAGAGAAAAUAUUAUAAAAUCUGGAUCUUUUGUCUGUAUUUUGCAACGUUAGAGAGUAAUGUAGACUACAGAGCAUAGUAGAGAAUUGAUGGCAUGACUAUAAUCAGUAUUUGAUGGUUGCUAGUAUUACUAGAAACUUCUAAAUAAAACCUGACAUUUGUCUAAUGUUGUCCUUAGUUGUACUGUAACAAUUUUAGUGAGAAAAUGUGUACCUUCUUGGGUCACUCUACUCCAUAGUCUGGCACAUCACUGUGAAAAUGUAGAAAUCUAAGCUCGUUUACCCAGAGAGGAAUGGAUCUUUGUAAAUUUGGAUACAGUAAGUGCGUAGGGACACACACAGAAUGUGAGCCUAGAACAGUGGUUCUUGGUAUUUCGGCACUUUUCGACCCCCUUUUGAAAACCUGAAGGUAACUAUGGAUUCUUUCCCCAGCAAGACUGCAAUUUCUGAGGGUAGAGGGACCGCCCUUGGCUGUCAGGUCAGGAAGCCCUGAUCUACAAGAUCAUCUUCAUUUUACUUCUGACCUUGCUCUUGACUUUAUUGUCAACUGUCUGUCAGGGGUUCUCGAAUGGAGCUUCAAAUCUUGAAGGACGCUUACUGCCUUACUCAUUGAACUGAAGCCCCAUGUCCAGAGCUCUGUAACGUAAUGGAGCAGACGUCGUUCACAAAACGCUGCCCCACAAGUACAGUGGUAAAAAGAGAGCCUGAGGCAUUUGUGUGUGGCACAGCCUCCUGGGUAGUAUCUCCUUCCUACUGGCACAGGGGGGUUUAUUCCAUAGUAAGUUGAAUCUUGAUGUUCUGUUUUUAAAAUGAGCAUAUUUCUUCUAAAACCUCGAAUUAUUAUAAAGGUUUCUAACUGUGACUUUUUCCUCGUGUCAUAGGAUGUCACAUUAAUGGUGUAAAAUGUGCACUUCAAAUUAACAUAGUUACUGGGAACCUGGGAUUGUUAUUUUGUGACUCUGAAAUCUAUAACACGUUUUCAGGGGAAUUGUUGAGAUGACCGGAUAAUUCAUUCUUUAUUCCUUUCAAGUUCCUGAAUGUAUGAUUGUUUCUGAAUCUUAUUAAGCCAUUUAUAAGAUGAGACAAAACUGUCUUCAGUUCAUAUUUUGACACAGAAUGCAUACAUUGAAUUGAUCUUAUUAGAAAUGUGUUUUUGACAAAAAAUUCUAUUUGAGUGGCUCUAAUCUUCAUUUUGGAAUCUCAGAUCCCCUGCUCGUUAUGUCGUUCACUGGGACUUUGCUGCAAAAUACAGCUUCGCUGAGAAGGUCAUCCUUGAAAAAUCAAGAAAUCUGAAGAAACUUACUUUGGGACUUGAGUAAAGAGACGGAAGAGCAUCGUCAGAGUGACAACGCAGCACACUCUGGAAACAUCUUCGACUGCACUGCUUUUGUACAUGAAACAAUUUGACUGUUUUAUGAACUGGACCUAUAGAGAGAGAAAACAGCCUCAUAAAAUGUAUCUUUAAUAUAAGAAAA